UUCUGCAUCGCUUCUUGUCAGCAUGGUAGUGGCCAGGAGGGCAGCUGGAGACACAGAUUCUGCGUUGUGGAAUGACAAAGAAGAGCAGUGUCACCAGAGAUUCAGUCCUGAGAACUGAAAUUCCAGCAUGGAUGUGACAGGAAGGGGACCUGGGUAACUGGAGUGUGGAUACCCUGCAGCUUGGCUUCCCAGAGUCAUUAAAGCCACUGAGUACCUCUGAGAUUCUGGAGCCAGAAAGAAACAUCAUUAUGGCAUCUGGCACAAUUUUAUCAGCAUCUCGUCUUGGA